CAAUCACAAGCUGCCCCUUCUAUAUUGAGGAUGCUGGCGAAGAAUUCUUGGGCCUUCUAGGUUUCAGAAUCUAAUGAUUCUUGCAUAGUUCCAGGUCAUAUUUUCUCCUUUACCAUGCUGAUCUAAUCUUUCUUCAUCACUGCAACGUCUUGUUUCUGACCAGUUAUAGAAAGAUCGAGGUUUCUUGUGCUUUAAAUUCAACCCAGAAAACUACUGUUGCAGUAGUCCCUGGAGAUAAGUGAAUUAGAGUAAAAUUGCCUGUGAGUAUUUGCUAUCUAAUCACGGAGUAGAUUCAAGCCGGUUUGAACUUAAGCCCGUUCAAGUUGGUGAUGGAAUAAACAGUGUCGCCAGAACGUUAAUUGACUAAGUCAGAUUCAGAACUGUAAAGAUGAGAACAUCUGUACAAUUACAGGCUAUUUGAUCAUUCGAUUUUUCCUAGGAGGUGAACAUUUAACCUUGUUGUAUAGCGGUAAAAGUCUCACAUGGGUUACUCGAAUCAGUGGUUAGACUUUUCAACCCGAAGCCUUAGCAUAUUAGGAGCUCCAAAAAUUCUUCGAAGUCUGAGAAAAUGAGCAAGAUGGGCAAUCGUUUUAUGGCAAUUAAGCUGUGAAUUUUCUUGGCUGUCGUUCAUCUGAAGGCUGUCAAAGUCAAACAAGAUGCCGAAAAGUCAAUCUGUUUUUAUUAAUUUCAACUUUAGUGGGAGCUGAAAAGGUUUACUUUCGUCUCUAGCUAACCAAUGAAAAUGGGUUUCCCAACUCUGGUCUGCCCCUGAAAUUUGCAAGUCAACAGGUGCGUUCUGCUUUUGAAGGAGAAGUAACUCGGGUUCUAUAACGAGAAGAAGAACAGUGAAGAAACAUUAUGAUACAGAGAAAGUUUGAAAUGGCUCUGACUCAUCUUGUGUUUUCUGUUGUGUUCUUUGUCAUCUUUGAUCUUUUUCUUCUUUGUUUGGCUCAAGAUGAAAGGAAAAUCAAUCCAAAAUGUCCACCUUUCUCCUGUGGUUUACUGGGUGAGAUCGGCUUCCCUUUCUCCAA